rnacentral:rRNA from 1 species
AUUGAACGCUGGCGGCAUGCUUUACACAUGCAAGUCGAACGGCAGCGCGGUCUUCGGCCUGGCGGCGAGUGGCGAACGGGUGAGUAAUGCAUCGGAACGUGCCCAGUAGUGGGGGAUAGCCCGGCGAAAGCCGGAUUAAUACCGCAUACGACCUGAGGGUGAAAGCGGGGGACCGAAAGGCCUUGCGCUAUUGGAGCGGUCGAUGUCGGAUUAGCUAGUUGGUGGGGUAAAGGCUUACCAAGGCGACGAUCCGUAGCUGGUCUGAGAGGACGACCAGCCACACUGGAACUGAGACACGGCCCAGACUCCUACGGGAGGCAGCAGUGGGGAAUUUUGGACAAUGGGGGCAACCCUGAUCCAGCCAUGCCGCGUGCGGGAAGAAGGCCUUCGGGUUGUAAACCGCUUUUGUUCGGGAAGAAAACCUCUGGGCUAAUACCCCGGGGGGAUGACGGUACCGGAAGAAUAAGCACCGGCUAACUACGUG